CACAGUCCGCGCCGGCUCAGGAUUUCAUUGGUGGCCCGGCAGCCACCAGGCUCCGCCCACCGCUCCCGGCAGCCCCGCCCCUUUCCGCGCGCGUGUCUCCGGUGCGAGAGCCCCCAGCUGGCCCUACCGCGGGGCGCGGCGAGUUGGGCUCCGGCAGGUGGUGACGCCGGCGGCGGCAGCUGGCUUUUCGUUUCUGCCCUGGAGAUCCCAUGGGCGGCAGAUUUUAUUCUUUGUCUUGCCUUAUUACACUGGCUGAAGUCUUUAACACAAUGGUAUCACCAAGAGCCCUCCUUCUGAUAAAACGAUACAACUUACUCUCCAAGCCUGAAAGUUAGUUGGGUUUUCUUCUGAAAUUCCUCCACUACUGUACACAUACUUCAUGUCUGGAUUUGGAUAGCCAGAGGCAGAUGUGAAAAAAAGUUACAGCCAAAUGAGAUAAACCUGACCGACUUUACUCCACCUACCAGCCUCGCCUACUUGGCCUGACACACCUUCCAGCGUCUGGAAGGUAAAUAUUGAACAAAUGAAAGAGUAUGGUGGAAGUGAUAUAAUGUGAGUUCUGGAUCCGGUGCCUUAAGAUGCUCGAAGCUUCUACCCUGACUCUUUUGGAGCAAAGCUGCCAAGUAAAGAAGCUUAAGCUGGUUACCAAAUGAUGAGAAACUACUGGGAGAGGAAGGUCCCAGCCUCCAGCUACUCCCACCAAGGUCAAGGGACAAAUCUUAUGAGCCAUGAUGAUGAUCUUUACAUUUCAUGCUUUAUGUGGAAUAAACAUAUUGUAGAAUACAGUAGUCCCUCCUUAUCCACAGUUUCGCUUUUCGUGGUUUUAGUGACUGCAAACCGAGGCCCGAAAAUAUUGCAUGAAAAA